rnacentral:ncRNA from 1 species
AAAGACUUAGUCCUAACCUUACCGUUAGUUUCAGCUAGACAUAUACAUGCAAGUAUCCGCACUCCAGUGUAAAUGCCCUUAAUUUCUUUCUAAUCUAAGAUGGAGGAGCAGGCAUCAGGCACGCCACAGCAGCCUAAGACGUCUUGCUUAGCCACACCCCCACGGGUAUUCAGCAGUAAUUAACAUUAAGCAAUAAGUGAAAACUUGACUUAGCCAUAGCUAACUAGGGCUGGUAAAUCUUGUGCCAGCCACCGCGGUCACACAAGAGGCCCAAAUUAACUGUUACACGGCGUAAAGAGUGGUACAACCCUGUCUUUUUAACUAAGAUCAAACUGCAACUAGGCUGUCAUAAGCUAAAGAUGCAUCUAAGGCCCUCCCUAAAAACGAUCUUAGCCUAAUCUUGAUUAACUAAUACCACGAAAGCUAGGGCCCAAACUGGGAUUAGAUACCCCACUAUGCCUAGCCUUAAAUUCUGAUGCGCUACUCUACCAAGCCAUCCGCCUGGGAACUACGAGCAUAAACGCUUAAAACCCUAAGGACUUGGCGGUGCCUCAAAUCCACCUAGAGGAGCCUGUUCUAUAAUCGAUAACCCACGAUGCACCCAACCCCCCCUUGCCAGACAGCCUACAUACCGCCGUCUCCAGCUCGCCCUCUCUGAAGGCCAAGCAGCAAGCGUAAUAGCUACUCGCUAACAAGACAGGUCAAGGUAUAGCUAAUGGGGUGGAAGAAAUGGGCUACAUUUUCUAGCAUAGAAUAACCCAGACGAAAAGGGGUGUGAAAUCACCCCUGGAAGGCGGAUUUAGCAGUAAAAGGAGAUAAUAAAGCUCCUCUUAAGCUGGCCCUGAGGCACGUACAUACCGCCCGUCACCCUCCUCAAAGGCCAUUAAACAAAACAUAACUAAUACACCUACAAGCCAAAGAUGAGGU